AACGAACGCUGGCGGCAUGCCUAACACAUGCAAGUCGAACGAAGCCUUCGGGCUUAGUGGCGCACGGGUGCGUAACGCGUGGGAAUCUGCCCUUGGGUUCGGAAUAACAGUUAGAAAUGACUGCUAAUACCGAAUGAUGUCUUCGGACCAAAGAUUUAUCGCCCAAGGAUGAGCCCGCGUCGGAUUAGCUAGUUGGUGAGGUAAAGGCUCACCAAGGCGACGAUCCGUAGCUGGUCUGAGAGGAUGAUCAGCCACACUGGGACUGAGACACGGCCCAGACUCCUACGGGAGGCAGCAGUGGGGAAUAUUGGACAAUGGGCGAAAGCCUGAUCCAGUGAUGCCGCGUGAGUGAAGAAGGCCUCGGUUGUAAACGUACUUUCUACCUCGUGACGA
rnacentral:rRNA from 1 species